GUGCUCACUUUGGCAGCACAUAUACUAAAAUUAGAAUGAUACAGAGAAGAUUAGCAUGGCCCCUGCACAAGGAUGACACGCAAAUUCGUGAAGCAUUUCAUACUUUU
rnacentral:snRNA from 1 species